AACCAAAGGGGGCGAGCGUAAGCAGCUCUCACCGAAGGAGGAGCCUGCGUCCGAUUAGCUAGUUGGUGGGGUAAUGGCCUACCAAGGCGACGAUCGGUAGCCGGCCUGAGAGGGCGAUCGGCCACACUGGAACUGAGACACGGUCCAGACUCCUACGGGAGGCAGCAGUGGGGAAUAUUGCGCAAUGGGCGAAAGCCUGACGCAGCGACGCCGCGUGGGUGAUGAAGGCCUUCGGGUCGUAAAGCCCUGUCUGGUGGAACGAAACGCCUGGCGGCCAAUACCCGCUGGGUUUGACGGUACCACCGAAGGAAGCCCCGGCUAACUACGUGCCAGCAGCCGCGGUAAGACGUAGGGGGCGAGCGUUGUUCGGAUUUACUGGGCGUAAAGCGCGCGUAGGCGGCCAGGUAAGUCGGGUGUGAAAGCCCUCGGCUCAACCGAGGUUCCGCAUCCGAUACUGCUUGGCUGGAGUCUAGGAGAGGAGAGCGGAAUUCCCAGUGUAGCGGUGAAAUGCGUAGAUAUUGGGAGGAACACCCGUGGCGAAGGCGGCUCUCUGGACUAGUACUGACGCUGAGGCGCGAAAGCUAGGGGAGCGAACGGGAUUAGAUACCCCGGUAGUCCUAGCCGUAAACGAUGGGCACUAGGUGUGGGAGGUAUUGACCCCUUCCGCGCCGAAGCUAACGCAUUAAGUGCCCCGCCUGGGGAGUACGGCCGCAAGGCUAAAACUCAAAGGAAUUGACGGGGGCCCGCACAAGCGGUGGAGCAUGUGGUUCAAUUCGACGCAACGCGGAGAACCUUACCAGGGCUUGACAUCCCACGAACCUGCCUGAAAGGGCGGGGUGCCCGCAAGGGAACGUGG
rnacentral:rRNA from 1 species